UACGAGUGCCUCAAGCGUUAUCCGGAAUCAUUGGGCGUAAAGGGUGUGUAGGUGGUUUUGUUAGUCUCGCGUUAAAUUCUUCGGCUCAACCGGGGGCAUGCGCGGGAAACGGCAAGACUUGACGAUGCAAGAGGUCUGCGGAACUCAUAGUGUAGCGGUGAAAUGCGUUGAUAUUAUGGGGAACACCAAAUGCGAAGGCAGCAGACUGGGGCACUCGUGACACUGAAACACGAAAGCGUGGGUAGCGAAUGGG
rnacentral:rRNA from 1 species